rnacentral:rRNA from 1 species
GAUGAACGCUGGCGGCAUGCCUAAUACAUGCAAGUCGCGGGACAAGACGAGGGGUUUGCUCCAUUGACGUUAGCGACGGACGGGCGAGUAACAAAUGGAUAACCUACCUACAAGACAGGGCUAAAUUAGCGAAACAGGAGCUAAUACCGACUAAUAUAUUGCAAUGCAUGGUUCAAUAGUGAAAGACGGUUUUGCUGUCACUUAUAGAUGGAUGCGCGCCGCAUUAGCUAGUUGGUAAGGUAAGGGCAUACCAAGGCAACGAGGCGAAGCCGACCUGAGAGGGGGGGCGGCCACACCGGAACUGAGACGCGGUCCAGACCACUACGGGAGGCAGCGGUAGAGAAUCUUCCACAGUGGGCUAGAGCCUGGCGUGGCAACGCCGCGUGGGGGAUAAAGGGCUGCGGAUCUUAGUUCUCUGUUGUUUUUGAGGGGCAAUAGUGUAAGUAACGAUUCACGUCUUGACGGUACCGAAUCAAUAAGCCACGGCUAACUACGUG